UUCUAGCUUUGCCACUGAAAGAACUCAGUGGGGAAACCCCCACUCAGCUCCCGAUUUGGCGUGCACCCAAGAAUCACGAAUAGAACA
rnacentral:pre_miRNA from 7 species